AUUGAACGCUGGCGGCAGGCCUAACACAUGCAAGUCGAACGGUAGCACAGAGAGCUUGCUCUCGGGUGACGAGUGGCGGACGGGUGAGUAAUGUCUGGGAAACUGCCUGAUGGAGGGGGAUAACUACUGGAAACGGUAGCUAAUACCGCAUAACGUCGCAAGACCAAAGAGGGGGACCUUCGGGCCUCUUGCCAUCAGAUGUGCCCAGAUGGGAUUAGCUAGUAGGUGGGGUAACGGCUCACCUAGGCGACGAUCCCUAGCUGGUCUGAGAGGAUGACCAGCCACACUGGAACUGAGACACGGUCCAGACUCCUACGGGAGGCAGCAGUGGGGAAUAUUGCACAAUGGGCGCAAGCCUGAUGCAGCCAUGCCGCGUGUAUGAAGAAGGCCUUCGGGUUGUAAAGUACUUUCAGCGGGGAGGAAGGUGUUGAGGUUAAUAACCUCAGCAAUUGACGUACCCGCAGA
rnacentral:rRNA from 1 species